GUUACUAUCCCACGCUCCUCUCAGUGUGGCAUUUCGUCGUCUUGAAGACUGCUAUCCCUUCAGUCAGUUUUGGGCAAGGCUACUUUAUUUCACCAUGAGGGCUGCCCGUUCUCGCUCCCUCGCCUUUGCCAUGCUCAUGCUUGUGUUGCUCUACUUGGCGAUGGUCAGCAGCGCUCGCAAGACCGGCCUCAAGCCGGCUGUCCUGGGCAGCCACGCUGGCCACAAGAACCCUCCGGUUUCUUCCCAUAGCGGCCAUCCCCAAGCUUCUCCUGAAACCCGACGGAACACCGGCUACGGGGCCCAAGUGUUCAUGGACGACUAUGGUCAUGGAGCUCCUAAUCCUCGACCUUGUUGUUGUGGUCAUUGAUGAGCCGGUUUGACAGCAUGACGUGAUGAAAAGAUGAGGAGAAGAAAAUUCACAAUAAUAAAACAAAUAUCGCACUCCCCCUACAUUCGUAGUUGUGUCUAUCACUCCAUCUAUAUGUGUUUACUUUUGAUUGUCCUUCUUGGCAUGGUGAUGAGUCAAAGCUGAUGACGACUGUAGUCUCAGCAAAAAUAAUCAUAGCGGCUUUUAGGGUGCCGGGCCGCUGCGGGCUGUUGUAAUUUAUGCAGGGUUGCAUAUUGAUAUUGUUUAGAAGUGGACUUCAUGUACCCACUACCGACCCUUGAAAUAGAUGUUCACCAAGUGUGUGUGUGUGUGUGUAGUAGACAAUGGUGACUUUUCAACCAUUGCCCAUAUGGACGAUUGGAGACAAGGACCGUGGAUGUGUUGAGAUCAUAGUCCUUAAUUGUCUUUAAUCAU